UCUGGGAUUGUCUAUAUUGGUA
rnacentral:miRNA from 1 species